UGGCCGAAUNGGAACAGCUCCAGUCUGCAG
rnacentral:piRNA from 1 species